rnacentral:rRNA from 1 species
AAUAGAUACCCCGGUAGUCCACGCCGUAAACGAUGAGUGCUAAGUGUUAGAGGGUUUCCGCCCUUUAGUGCUGCAGCUAACACAUUAAGCACUCCGCCUGGGGAGUACGGCCGCAAGGCUGAAACUCAAAGGAAUUGACGGGGGCCCGCACAAGCGGUGGAGCAUGUGGUUUAAUUCGAAGCAACGCGAAGAACCUUACCAGGUCUUGACAUCCUCUGACCUCCCUGGAGACAGGGCCUUCCCCUUCGGGGGACAGAGUGACAGGUGGUGCAUGGUUGUCGUCAGCUCGUGUCGUGAGAUGUUGGGUUAAGUCCCGCAACGAGCGCAACCCUUGACCUUAGUUGCCAGCAUUGAGUUAGGCACUCUAAGGUGACUGCCGGUGACAAACCGGAGGAAGGUGGGGAUGACGUCAAAUCAUCAUGCCCCUUAUGACCUGGGCUACACACGUGCUACAAUGGAUGGUACAAAGGGCUGCGAGACCGCGAGGUUAAGCCAAUCCCAGAAACCAUUCCCAGUUCGGAUUGCAGGCUGCAACCCG